AGCCAAAAGGAAGAAAGCCCAAAACGAAAAACAAAUUGAGUGAAAGGAAACCCUAGCCGCCGGAGCCACCUGCCACCGAGAAGAGAGCCACCGACCUAAAACAGCCAUCCGUCGCCGUAGUCAGCCGCCGCCGAGGAGAGCUUUCACCUGAGAAAUGAAAAAUAGGAGCCAGAAAAAGAAAAAAAAGGACGGAAAGGAGGAAGAAGACGACCAAGAACAGAGAUUCAUGUUGCUCACCCCCAGCCGAAACUGUCUCGCCAUCUUUAAGUGAGAGUUGGCUUUUGACGGCUUCACACACGUUCUCCACUGUCUAAGGUUUUGCCUGUUUACCAACAAAACCAAAAAGUUUGAAUCAAUCUUGCCGUCUGCAACCAAAUUCUUUUUUUUUUUGUCGUUUCUUUCAAUUUUCUAUAACCAAAGUCAUUUUAAUAAAAUAUUUUAGUUGGAAAAGAGCUUAGCCAACGAUUCAACAAUAAGAUCUAUCAUUGAAAAAACUAAAAGAUAAUCUAAAUCGAGAUCUAUAGAUUACAGACUGAGACAAUAGAAAGAAAACUAGGAAUAAUAAUCAGAUCUAAAGCAGAAUGAGAUGCUACGCAUAAAAAAGAAAAAAAAAUCGAGAAUUCAGGUGAAAGGGAGAAAUAGAGAGAAAGAUACCACUUUUUGAGGAUGAGCUUGCAGAUAAGUAGACGCAGCAGCAGAGACGAACAGAAAAGGCAGCGGAGAAAGGCCAGAGAUAGUGGAGCACAG
rnacentral:lncRNA from 1 species